rnacentral:rRNA from 1 species
UUAAAUUGAAGAGUUUGAUCAUGGCUCAGAUUGAACGCUGGCGGCAGGCCUAACACAUGCAAGUCGAACGGUAACAGGAAGCAGCUUGCUGCUUCGCUGACGAGUGGCGGACGGGUGAGUAAUGUCUGGGAAACUGCCUGAUGGAGGGGGAUAACUACUGGAAACGGUAGCUAAUACCGCAUAACGUCGCAAGACCAAAGAGGGGGACCUUCGGGCCUCUUGCCAUCGGAUGUGCCCAGAUGGGAUUAGCUAGUAGGUGGGGUAACGGCUCACCUAGGC